AGCAGUAGCCGCGGUAAUACGGAGGGAGCUAGCGUUGUUCGGAAUUACUGGGCGUAAAGCGCACGUAGGCGGCUAUUCAAGUCAGGGGUGAAAGCCCGGGGCUCAACCCCGGAACUGCCUUUGAAACUAGAUAGCUUGAAUCUUGGAGAGGCGAGUGGAAUUCCGAGUGUAGAGGUGAAAUUCGUAGAUAUUCGGAAGAACACCAGUGGCGAAGGCGACUCGCUGGACAAGUAUUGACGCUGAGGUGCGAAAGCGUGGGGAGCAAACAGGAUUAGAUACCCGUGUAGUCCCUGUCUCUUAUAC
rnacentral:rRNA from 1 species